AACUUUUAGCAAUGGAUCACUUGGCUCUCGCAUCAAUGAAGAACGCAGCGAAAUGCGAUACGUAAUGUGAAUUGCAGAAUUCAGUGAAUCAUCGAAUCUUUGAACGCACCUUGCGCCCCUUGGCAUUCCGAGGGGCACACCCGUUUGAGUGUCGUGAACAUCCUCAACCUGCUUCGUUCUAUCGAACCAAGUAGGCUUGGAAUUUGGAGGUUUUUCUGCUGGCUUCCUCUGAAGCCAGCUCCUCUUAAAUCUAUCAGUGGGAUCCGCUUUGCUAGAUCCUCGACGUUGAUAAGAUGUUUCUACGUCUUGGGUUUCGCUCGGGAAGGACCUGCUUCUAACCGUCCCCAUCGGGGACAAUGUUCGAGAGCCGAUCGCCCUUCACGGGGUGGGAAGCUUUUCGACCCAUGAAACCUUGACCUCAAAUCGGGUGAGACUACCCGCUGAACUUAAGCAUAUCAAUAAGCGG
rnacentral:misc_RNA from 1 species